CAGUCGCCACGGGAAUACGUAGGGUGCAAGCGUUAAUCGGAAUUACUGGGCGUAAAGCGUGCGCAGGCGGUUCGCUAAGACAGAUGUGAAAUCCCCGGGCUUAACCUGGGAACUGCAUUUGUGACUGGCGGGCUAGAGUAUGGCAGAGGGGGGUAGAAUUCCACGUGUAGCAGUGAAAUGCGUAGAGAUGUGGAGGAAUACCGAUGGCGAAGGCAGCCCCCUGGGCCAAUACUGACGCCCAUGCACGAAAGCGUGGGGAGCAAACAGGAUUAGAUACCCCUGUAGUCCCUGUCUCUUAUAC
rnacentral:rRNA from 1 species